rnacentral:rRNA from 1 species
UGGGGAAUAUUGGACAAUGGGCGCAAGCCUGAUCCAGCCAUGCCGCGUGAGUGAUGAAGGCCCUAGGGUUGUAAAGCUCUUUCACCGGUGAAGAUAAUGACGGUAACCGGAGAAGAAGCCCCGGCUAACUUCGUGCCAGCAGCCGCGGUAAUACGAAGGGGGCUAGCGUUGUUCGGAUUUACUGGGCGUAAAGCGCACGUAGGCGGACUUUUAAGUCAGGGGUAAAAUCCCGGGGCUCAACCCCGGAACUGCCUUUGAUACUGGAAGUCGUGAGUAUGGUAGGGGUGAGUGGAAUUCCAAGUGUAGAGGUGAAAUUCGUAGAUAUUCGGAGGAACACCAGUGGCGAAGGCGGCUCACUGGGCCAUUACUGACGCUGAGGUGCGAAAGCGUGGGGAGCAAACAGG